GGCUCACCAAGGCGACGACGGGUAGCCGGCCUGAGAGGGUGACCGGCCACACUGGAACUGAGAUACGGUCCAGACUCCUACGGGAGGCAGCAGUGGGGAAUAUUGGGCAAUGGGGGGAACCCUGACCCAGCGACGCCGCGUGAGGGAAGACGGCCUUCGGGUUGUAAACCUCUUUUGUACGGGAAGAAGGACGUGACGGUACCGUACGAAUAAGUCCCGGCUAACUACGUGCCAGCAGCCGCGGUAAUACGUAGGGGACGAGCGUUGUCCGGAAUUACUGGGCGUAAAGGGCGCGCAGGCGGUAUAUCAAGUCAGCUGUCAAAGACUGGGGCUCAACCCUGGUAUGCGGUUGAAACUGAUAUGCUGGAGUGCUGUAGAGGCAAGUGGAAUUCCCAGUGUAGCGGUGAAAUGCGUAGAUAUUGGGAAGAACACCGGUGGCGAAGGCGACUUGCUGGGCAGCAACUGACGCUGAGGCGCGAAAGCCAGGGGAGCAAACGGGAUUAGAUACCCCGGUAGUCCUGGCCGUAAACGAUGAAUGCUAGGUGUGUGUGUAGAGAUACAUGCGUGCCGGAGUUAACGCGAUAAGCAUUCCGCCUGGGGAGUACGGUCGCAAGAUUGAAACUCAAAGGAAUUGACGGGGGCCCGCACAAGCGGUGGAGCACGUGGUUUAAUUCGAUGCAAACCGAAGAACCUUACCUGGGUUUGACAUGUACGUGGUACGGAUAUGAAAGUUGAAGGACCUUUUCUUCGGAAGGGGAGCGUACACAGGUGCUGCAUGGCUGUCGUCAGCCUCGUGUCGUGAGAUGUU
rnacentral:rRNA from 1 species